AGUUUUGAAAGUAAAACAUUCAUCAAUAUUAAUAACCACUUCCUAUUUUAAUAGACAAUAAGCCACAAGAUUGUUAACAGUCAAUCCUUUGAAUAAUGUUAUGAUAAUGUUGUGUGUACUGUACAAAGUAUAUAGUCCUGAUUAGAAGCAUUGCGGGUUGUUGCAAGAAACUAUUUGCAAUCAAUUACAAAUUUCUAAUACAAUUUUAGAAAUAGAUAAAUUUCAGAUGCACAGUAUCAAAUCUGUUAACACUCUACAGAUCACCAAUCAACUGAAAAUUCAUGAUUUAUUGUGACAUGUAUGAUUGAUUUUCACACCCAACUUUGACUUGUAUCUGAAUGCAAGUUUUGCAUCAACCCAAUAGAGUUGCGGUUGCAGCAUCAAUCCACAUGCUCAAAGUACACUGAAUGAAUGACCCAUAGCUCAUAAAUUAUAUCAAAACAGUAAAACAAAUGUGAUAUAUAUGAAUCAUAUGAUUCAUUCGUUUCAUUCAAAACAUCAAGUAUUACACAACUGUUGUCAUCACACCUGAAUUUUCUUCACUUGAUUAAACUCAGUCGAUCUACAAUUCAUGAAGACACAUUCAUUGCGACUGGCACUGCUUCUGACAAAACAAUGUUUCAAAAUGGUACAAUUUAUCCUUUAUUAUGUAUCAUGAAUAAUUAUCAAGCCAUGCGUCUUGAACUCACUCCACCAAAAGGUGGUUUUGUUAUGCUUUUUCAAUUUUGAUUCGGUUUAACAUACGAUAUCUCAGUUGAAAGGAAACAUGUCUUUAAUUUGGUAUCAUUUUAAAGCUAACUAUAUACAGGGUAUCAUGUCUGAGAAAAAUUAGUGCAGUAGCACAUAUUUGUGACACUGCAACUGAUAGAAUGAAAAUAAGAAAGGGGGGUUGAGGAGGGGAAGCAGUUUACACAAAGUCUAUGGGAGAGUUACGUUUCAUAUUUCAAACAUGAAUAACUUUGGUAUACAGAGGGCUAGAGACUUAAUUUUUGGUCUCAUUUCAAAGCUUGAGGUGAGCAGUAUAAUAAUCCAUCAGCCUUCAUAAUCUAUUCUAAUUUAUUAACUGUAAUUAACAUUAUUUAAGAAAA